GGCAUAAAAUGUAAGAAUGUAGAACAUAAAAUGAGCCUUUAUGCGGAUGAUGUGUUACUUUUUCUCCAAAACUCACAAACCAAUCUCUCUGGGGUGAUUACAUCUUUCUCAAAAGUCUCAGAUUAUUCAAUUAACUGGACAAAAUCUACAGCUCUUCCAAUUAAUUGCUCCUUCUAUAAUUCUUCAUCUACCCGACUGCAAUCUGGAAAUAUUAAAUAUUUAGGUAUCAAUAUCUCUCCUAAGCUUGCAGAAUUAACUAAAUUAAAACACAUCCCACCUGCACGCCACUGCAACCCCCUCUGGCCUCUGUUCCGUAGCUGCGGGGUGACCUCUCGUUUAGGGCUGUACUCAGCUCUUCCCAGGAGGGUGGCACGGUUCCCCCCCUUUGGUGGUCCUCCUCGGGUCCUUGUACUCUGGGGCCUCUGGAUAUCUGGGGCCUGGAUCUCCUCCAUACCUGCUUCAUACCCUGGUGGACGGGGCUGUGGCUCCCCACACUCCCUAGCAGAUCGUUACAUGGAGAAACCUUUGGAAUACAAGCAUGCUGAUCCACACAGGUGUGCACACAGGUGUACACACGGGUGUUCACAGACGCGGACUACACCUUUCUUGGCUGCUGCCUCAAAGCACAUUGUGCGCUGUCUAUCUUGCGUGCUGCACAAUAUCGUUUAAUAUUUAGUAUCUACUGUUAUCUACUGCUAGCUAGUUUAUUGUGAUGGUGCUGUUUUUUUUAUUAUGUUGCUCUUUGUUGUUGGCUUUCUCUUCUGUUUUUUUUCUCCAUACAGGUGAUCCAGGUGUUUUGUUUUUGUUUUUUCUUUCUUCCCCCCCUUCUCACCGUCUCUUCUCCCCUUUGGUUUUCUUUCUCUCCCUCUCUUUCUUUCAUUCUUUCUCCCUGUCCUAUCCCCCAGUCAUGUCUGUCCCGUUUGUAGCAACCGAAAAUAAAAUAAAUUCAGAAUUAUAAUAAAGGUCAAUCAAAUGGACCAAUAUGGUAAGGCCAUGAUGAUCCACUUGGUAAAAUAAAUCCGCUUGGCAUCUUUCUUGGCCUUAAGACAACAAUUCUGCUGGCUAAAGAUCCAAACGGGACACAAAAAAAACAAACAAAAAAAACACAUCUCACCUUUAAAGACAGUAGAAGGCGAUCUGGCUAGAUGGAAAUCUCUACCCAUAUCACUCAUGGGAAGGGUUGCCGCUAUAAAAAUGAUGGUCUUGCCAUGUCAUGUCUGCCCCGUCUGUAACAACCGAAAAUCAAAUAAAUAAAUACUUUUUAAAAAAAAAGGAAAAAAAGGAAGCUUCUAACCAGGUACUAAAACAGGUCUACAUCCAUACGUAACUACUAAGACUCUGAGGUCAACUCAUCUAUGCUCCCGGUCCACUGGCCCACUGUGGUAAAGAUAGAGACGAGGAUGAAGCUGAGCUAUGUUACUGCCAAAAGCUGUGGGUAGUGACCGAAAUAACAAAAGAAUAACACAGUGGACACAGUCAGCAGAAAUGAAUCCCCUAUUAUGGGUUUCAGGCUCUUCCUUAGAAACAGAGGAGCUAGAAGAGGUGAUUCAGGCAUUUCUCUGAGAUGCCUUGCCAGACCAAGAUGAGGUCUUUGGAGCCUGUCUAACCAGGAGGAGACUGCUGGGUUGACCAAGGACAUGUCCAAGUUA
ensembl:lncRNA